AGCGAACGCUGGCGGCAGGCCUAACACGUGCAAGUCGAACGCCCCUUCGGGGGAGUGGCGGACGGGUGAGUAACGCGUGGGAAUGUGCCCUUUGGUACGGAACAACUGAGGGAAACUUCAGCUAAUACCGUAUGUGCCCUACGGGGGAAAGAUUUAUCGCCAUUGGAGCAGCCCGCGUUGGAUUAGGUAGUUGGUGGGGUAAUGGCCCACCAAGCCGACGAUCCAUAGCUGGUCUGAGAGGAUGAUCAGCCACACUGGGACUGAGACACGGCCCAGACUCCUACGGGAGGCAGCAGUGGGGAAUCUUGCGCAAUGGGCGAAAGCCUGACGCAGCCAUGCCGCGUGAAUGAUGAAGGUCUUAGGAUUGUAAAAUUCUUUCACCGGGGAAGAUAAUGACGGUACCCGGAGAAGAAGCCCCGGCUAACUUCGUG
rnacentral:rRNA from 1 species